AUGCUCGUUUCAGCAGCACAUACACUAAAAUUGAAACAAUACAGAGAAGAUUAGCAUGACUAGCAUGGCCCCUGAACAAGGAUGACACACAAAUUUGUGAAGUGUUACAUAUUUUU
ensembl:snRNA U6 U6 spliceosomal RNA